ACUUAAGUAAUUUAAAUUAAAAUAUCGAUUUGUGGAGUCGAUUUUAUACAUAUAUGUAUCUUGGGUU
rnacentral:tRNA from 1 species